AAAUUGAAGAGUUUGAUCAUGGCUCAGAUUGAACGCUGGCGGCAGGCCUAACACAUGCAAGUCGAACGGUAACAGGAAGCAGCUUGCUGCUUCGCUGACGAGUGGCGGACGGGUGAGUAAUGUCUGGGAAACUGCCUGAUGGAGGGGGAUAACUACUGGAAACGGUAGCUAAUACCGCAUAACGUCGCAA
rnacentral:rRNA from 1 species